rnacentral:lncRNA from 1 species
GCCGCAGUUGGCGGCCCCCAUGGCGCCACUAGUGCUUCAAAGUGGGUGGCAGUGAGAUUUCCCUGUUUUCCUGUCUUGCUCCUGUUUCAAUGUCAAUGUUGUCGGUAGGAGGGAGGUGGUUUCUUGGCUUUACUUUCUUUUUUUUCAUUUGUUGCUUUUGACAUGCUCUCUCCAGCGUUUUGCUUGUGUCGGCUUCCCUUCCUUCUGGU